rnacentral:lncRNA from 10 species
GGCUGGUCUUCCCUGUGCUAUUCUCGUGAUAGUGAGUAAGUCUCACAACAUCUGAUGGGUUUAUCAGGGGUUUCUGCUUUUGCUUCUUCCUCAUUUUCUCUUGCCUCUGCUAUGUAAGAAAACCUUUCACCUCCCACCAUGAUUUUGAGACCUCCCCAGCCAAGUGGAACUGAAGGGUCCUGUCCUGUACCCGGGAGGAAGAAAUGCUACACAGAGAAGCCAAGAUGAAUCUGAACAGACAGCCUUUGUCAGUUCCACAGAUUCCAUAAAAGUUAACUCCAGAGCAGAGAAUGAUGCCACAGUCGGGAUAACAUCCAAUAUUUGCAAUCAGAAGAAAUAUGAGAGUCUUGCUCCAUCACCCAGGCUGCAGUGCAGUGGCACGAUCUUGGCUCACUGCAAGCUCCACCUCCCGGGUUCACGCCAUUCUCCUGCCUCAGCCUCCCAAGUAGCUGGGACUACAGGCGCCCACCACCACGCCCAGCUAAAUUUUUUUGUAUUUUUAGUAGAGAUGGGGUUUCACUGUGUUAGCCAGGAUGGUCUCGAUUUCCUGACCUCGUGAUCUGCCUGCCUCGGCCUCCCAAAGUGCUGGGAUUACAGGCGUGAGCCACUGUGCCCGGCCGUAAUUAUUCUUUUCGUGUUAAGCAAUGGUAAAAGAACUGACUGAAAAUAAGAAUAUUAAAAAGUUUCUCUGCUAAAAACAGAAAAUUAUGUUUGUUACCAUUCCUACUAUAACCCCAGUGAUAUGGCUCCGAUGAGUGGAGGAACACCAGGGUUCUUGGUCUUCAUGCCAGUUUAGAUAAAACAACACAGACAUACGUGGAGUGGUUUUAAGGAGCAGACAGUUUAAUAGGCAAGAAGAAAAGAGAAGGCAGAAGGAAAAGGCUCCCCGAUACAAAGACAGAGGGAGGGGGCCUCCAAAGCCAAAAGAGGAAAUCCCAAGUGCAGUGGAUACCAGCCAGGUAUAUGUAGAGGCUGGAGGAGGUGGUGUCUGAUUUGCAUAGGGCUCAGGGGAUUGGUUUGACCAGGCCUGUAAUUCACGGGGCCUGAAAAAGCUGGCCCUCCCACCCUAGCAUUUAAUAUGCAAAUGCAGGGCGCCACGAUGUUCUACAAAUGGUGGGUAUAUGUGGGAGCGGCCAUGUUGCCAGGAACAUGUGGGGCAAGGGCAAGAAGGCCACGGGAAUCACCAUGUUUGGGUAGACGCAGUUUCUAAUGGCUUGCAUUUGCCUAUCAAAGGUUGCCAGCCGCUCUAAGAGCCAGGGCAUUCCAAUUCUGGAGCUGCUUUAAAAAUGAAAACUUCCCAAGGAUCCCUUUUCUUUUCUAUCUGCCUAAAAUAAUUUCUUAAUAACUCCUACAACACAAUGAUUUUCAGUGAAACAAAAGCUGCUGUUUUAUUUUUGUUAAAUUGUUUUUCUUAGCUAAAGAGAUAAAAGUGAGGAUGAGGGAUUCAAAAUGUGGUUUACUUUAUAGAGCUUGCAAAACUCACAGCAUUUAAAGCAGUUUUUAACAGGAGUAUGGGGAUAGGGCUUGAAUGAACUUGGAAAUGCCAUUCAAUUGCUAAAAUCAUAUGCAUCACAUUGUGUUCGUCUGCACAUACGUGCACUUUUCUGGUAAGAAGUUUCAAACUUACAACAAAUUUUCAAAAGAGGUCUAUACUUUUGAAAGUAUAAGAAAUCACUUAGUUUACUGACUUUCCUUAUUUCAGGCCACAUCCAAAAGUACAAAACAGCACAUUUACAUUUUGUAUUUCACAUUUUUUUCAAUACUUACCUUGGGAGCCAUAGGCCCUGCUAAAGUUUUGCUGAAAAAUCAUGGACAUGAUGCAGAUUAAUUAAGAGGAGAAAAGGCAUAUAGAUUUAUUUAACAUGUAUACACAGGAGCAUUCAAAAUGAAGACCCAGCUUCUCCAUGAGUUACAGAAACUUAUAUACCAUCUUGAGUUUGCAGAACGAAUGGGGGCUUGCAUCCUGGUAAGACAGGAUAUAGGAAGAAGGAGAAGAGAAAUUCUAUUGAGGGGCAAUAAAUGACUGUGAAGGAGAAUGAUUGGAUCAGGGAACAGAGAUUAACUUUGUAAAUAGUUUUCUUUGAAAUUUAAAUGAUCCUUGGAGACAAUCAUUGUUCUUAUUAAAAGGUCUGUUCAGGUAUUGGUCACAUCUUGGCCUUCUUUUCUGCAAUAGAUAAUGAGAUAACAGAGAUGGGAAGAAAACACAAUAGUUCUCAUUGGUAGGUCUGGAUCCUAAGCAGAUAAAGGAACUUCAGUUUAUUUGGGAGAGACAGUGGUGGUGAGAGGCCAAAGAGAUCUUCAGGCUUCUUCAGCUCAGCAUGUCAAAAUGCCAUAUUUUGGUAUAUGAAUUUCUGAGCCCCAACAUUCUCCCAUCUGAAACUUCCCUAGGAGUUUCACAAACUAAAAGCUGAGUUAGUGGCUGUGGAAGAGAAAAGUUAAGCUAAAAUAUGAAUGGCAAAUAAUUCUAUUUAACCAAUCUGUGAAUAGGUCAAUUAAACACCUCUUUCAUUUUAGGAGAUAGCAUUGCAGAUGGGCUUUCAAACAGAAGAAAAACAGGUUAAUUUUGGAAACAGUCUAUAAACCAGUUUCCUUACAGUCUGCAGGGCAGUCAGUUGAGGUGUCCAGAUGUUAGACUCAAAGCCCAGUUAAAGAGGAAGCCAGCAAUGGCAAUCUGACAAGAUUUUUUUUGCCUGUUUCAAAAAGUUUAAGCUUUAGCUUAUAGGGCCUCAGGAAAAAGGUAGUAGCAAUUCCAUUGAGUCCAAGUAAGAAAAAUCCUUUUGAAUUUUUUAUUACCAGAUUUUAGUGAGGAUAAACAGCUGAUAUUUCUGGCUUUUAAACAUUUUUUUUUUUAACCAAUGACAUCCUCCCAAGUACCAUAAUCGAGGUUAUAACUUAAGCAUAAGGUGUCUUCAAAGAGGUGGCAAACACUUUUUACAAGAUAUAAAAUUACCCCAAAGAUAGCUCAAAGAAAGGAAAAUUUUGGUAGCCAUAAAUGGAGUGUGACUCACAUUUCUGUUUGGCCAGUCUCUGGAGUCUCAGCUGCUCAGCUCAUUUUCUACAUACAGAAGCCAAAAUGCCUCAUAUGCCCCCACAGAUGAAAGACAGGAAAUCAAAAUCUGUCCAUGGAAGGGAAAAUAAUCAAUAAAUUUUGGGAAGGUAACACAAACGUCAAUCCAGAAAGCACUAAGUCCCUUGCCAGAAGUUUAAUCCAGGCUGCUGUGGUAAAAGGGCAGACCUUGGCUACUAGGUUACAACAUGAGGUGGUCUUUAUUGUUCUUCCCAGAAGAAAUCCAGAGCAGACAGUUUCAAUUUACAAAGGAAAAUGGCAACAACAACAACAACAACAAAUCACCUAUUUCUGAGAGGAAAGGGGGGGUCGAAGAAUGUGAAUAUUCAUACCUCACAGUACUGAAAGUACACUGGAGUCACUAUAACCCAAGACUCAUCACACAAAUCCUUUUUUCUCAUUAAUAAAAUCAUUGCAGAUGAGACAAACAAUGAUUUUUUCCCAUCCACUCAACUGGAAUGCAAAGAGAGAGAGAGGUCAGGAGACUGGCUGGUAAGAAAUUCUUAUCCCUUUGCUGGCAGGUCAGGUUCCUGGGUUCUCUUUACUGCAGCUUAUAGAAGAGAAGAGCAGCUUUGAUUACCCUGCUCACUGCACUAUACUGUGGUGGCCAUAGGCUCUUGGUCCCUUGAAGUUUCACUGAAAAAAAAAUCACUGACAUGAAGCAGAUAAAUUAAUAGGGGAAAAGGCAUGUAAAUCUAUUUAGCAUGUAUACACAGGAGCCUUCAGAAUGAAGACCCAACUUCUUCAUGAGUUACAGAAACUUGAGGUUACAAAAGAAUGGGGGCUCGCAUCCUGGUAAAACAGGUUAUGGGAACGGUGGAGGGGGAAGAGGAAUUUUACUGAUGGGCAAUAAAUGAUUGCAAGGGAGAAUGACUGGAUUGGGGAACAGAGAUUAACUGAUCUGUAGAGACAGUAAUUAUCCUCAUAAAAAGGUCUGUGCAGGUAUGGUCACAGCUUCUUUUCUGCAGUAGAUAAUGAGAUAAUGGGGAGGGAAAGAAAAAGACAAAUUAUUCUCCUUGGUGGGUCUGGAUUUUAGGCAGAUAAAGGAACUUCAGCUUCUUUGGGUGAGAUCAUGUGGAGAUUAGGUCAGAGAGACCUUGAAGCUUCUUCAGCUUAGCAUGUCAAAACAUCAUAUUUUGGGGUAACAAUUUCUGAGCCCAACAUUAUUAUGUCAACCCCUCCAGGAAACUGCAAUUGAGCAGAAUAGAUAGUAAUGAUACUAAGGUUAUAAGGGUGUUAAAAGAUAACAUUUUUUAAGGGUAAAAGCAUUCUUCUCAAAAAAUAUAAAACACAUGAAGAUUCUAUUAAAUUCAUUAAUUAAUAAUGGAAUCAAAUGUUAGAACCAGUUCAGAGUAGUUCUUUUUAAUGACACAAAUGUAGGGAAUAAGGAAUGCUAAAACAAAAUUUUAAAUAAAGACAGAAGUGAUCUAUCUACAGGACAAUAACCAACUGCAUUCCACAAGGACCCAAUUUGUUUGUAUUUCAACUGAAAAGAAUCAUUCACAUUAUUAUGAGUUUUAAAUCCUUCAAAAACAAUGACAAGCACAGAGAUUGCAGAUGGGUACACUAUAAAGGCUGCCAGCGAUCUCCCCCUCCCUCAUUUCGAAUCUGUCACAAUUUUUCUGACAUGCAUUUGCAGAGAAAUUGUGAUGAAGUUUUUUUCUGUCACACAAAAGGCAAGCAUCCAAUUUGACUGAGGGAGUCAAAGGUAGUCCCCACAGAAGUGGUAUUUAAAUGAAUGUUGAAUGAAUGUGCAUUAAGUAAAGAAUAUCUAUGGGGACUUAACAUUUGAAAGGUUCUGGGGCAUCUGAAAAAACAGAGCAAAGCUGUUGGAUGACAAUGGAAUGCUAAUUUAGAGUCGUGUUUGGAAGAACUGAGGUCCCAGUGGUGGAAUUUGAGUUUAUGAUUUCCCAAAGUACGCCUCCUAGAGGAGGAAGUAUACAUCAGUGCUUGAUGGCUUUGAGAGAGUCUUGAGAGUGUAGCCUGCAGCUUCUCAAUGAAAAAUGUCAAAUUUAUCUGCAAUCAUGUUUUAUCUUAAAAUUUCGCUUGGUUUUUAAUAUAACAAUCUAUGAGAUUACAACUUAUUGAGUAAAAUUUAUUGUGCUUAGUACAUGAGAGGAAAGAAGUAUAUAUUGGUUUUGAAUUUUGGCUGAACUGACAUUCCACAAAGUCAUCCCAGGCUCUUAGCCAGACUCUCUGGGUACACUCACUUUGUCUCCGGAGAUAUGCAAGCUCCUCAAAUUAAGGUGCAAAACAUGCAUUGACUACAGGUUACUAAAAGCUUUUAUUGGUCAGUGAAGUCACACGGUUAGUUUUAUUAUGUUUGGGGAAAAUUACUGCCAAUUCCAUGAAAGAAGAUUUGACCCAGCACCAGUGGGAAGCAGUGAUCAGAAAAUGGGCUGCCGAAACAGGCUUGGACUGAGGGUGUGAAUGGGAAGAAAAACGCUAUCUUACAGAGGUAAUUAAAAUGUUCUGACCAAUUAUCUACAGGCGAGAAAAGAGAAGGGUCAGGUAUAACAUUUCUGGUUGUAUUCCUGCAGACAGUUUGCUGGUAGAACUGGAGUUAGCAACUAUGCCACUGAUAGAAACAGGAGACAGCCAAGGGUCCCCGGAGAAACCCUGCCUUCAAGCCUAAAACGCCCUGCAGGCUGAAAAACCAGCUGCUGGUCCUGGAUGAAACCCACAACCCAGAGGGAGAACUGCCCCUGUUUGCCCGCCCUUUCCCAGCCGAUUCUUUCAGAAUAAGGCCCACAUGCGCACCGGGGAAACGGGGUCGAGCCACAGAAAGUUGCGCCUUGUUCAAUGGGGAGGAGUCUGGUCUCUUCAGUUUUCCUGUGCGUGGCCUGGAAUCAAUCUGUGAGGUGGGGGCCUAUUGGCAGGAUCCCCUCUCGCUUUCUUGAGAGUUUUUUUCUUUUUUUCCUUUUUGCCCAGUAAAUUCUGUUCCCCACACCCUUCAAUGUGUCCACGUGCCUAAAUUUUCCAGUUCUUGAUAUAAGAACCUGGAUUUAGCUGAACUAAGGAGCAAAAAUUCUCCUUAGAAUUUUUGGAAGGUUGGUGUAAAGUUAACAGUUGCAGCCACCUGACGGUUUCUAAAUCCCAGGUUUCUUGUAUUACCCAUUGCUCUUUUUCUCUAGCCUUUUAAAGCAGACCUGUAAGAGACCAGGCCAGCUUUAGCAUUUCUUUUGUCUUUUAAUCUGUAAGUUUUGUGCUUGAGCAGGAAGCAGACAGGUUACCUUUUUAAGACACUAAAGGAGAUGAGAUGAAAUUAUUUGUAUGAUCAAAAUGCAUAUUUAGAAUGUGCAUCUGUAAGUUUUCCAUGAUUAAGUUCUUGGGAAAAAAUUUUCAUUUUCCUACUUGGGAUUAAAGAAAAUUCAUCAUAAUAGCGUAGUUAGAAGAGUGAAUGUGAGGAUGCAAAGCCAAGCAAUAUUUAAAUUUACCAAUCUAAGAAGAAAUCUUUAAUCUGGCAUUAUGGCCAAUGAAUCUCAUGUAAAAUUUUCUUCCAGAUGCCCACACAGCUUAACUUUUAGAAACACAACACAGGAUAUUUCAGAGAUAAGCUGUGAUGAGUUCAGGACACGCUACCCCCAAAAUAUGACACAGUGGCAUAUGUAAUAUUUUAGGUGGAAGGAAUUUGAGAAAUAUCAUGAGUGGGAAGUGUCUUCUGACCUUCCCAUGAAGCAGAUCAUAACAACCUCAUGUGAAAGGUGCCCUCCCUAUACCCAGAUGAAAGGAGCAGCCUUCUCUCUGAAGACACAGGGACACAGACAAGAACUGAAUGAAGGGAUUUUGCUCAGUUUUCCCCAGUUUACUCAUACCCUUUAUGCUAUCACAUUUUCCCAUAACUUUCCACUUUUCAUUAAACCUAGAAUAAAAACUCUCAGGUUAAACUGUUUCUUUGCGUCUUCAUUUCCUUAUGAAAACUCCCAUGUCACAUAAAACUUAAAUAAAUGUGCAUGCUUUUCUCUUGUUAAUCUCUUUUGUUACAGGAGUACCAGCCAAUGCACGUUAAGAUGAGUAGAAGGAAAAGAUGUUUUUCCUCCUCUAUAGCUACAUAGUCACAAACAAGGCUGUACCUGUAUAAGGUUUCUUUGGAUAGCAGUGAGUAAAACCUACGCGGAGAGGUUCUAUGCCGAAGGAAUUUUGCUUACUGGAGGACCAGAAACACACGCGCGCGCGCGCGCACACACACACACACACACACACGGGCAGGGGACAAGGGCGUGGCAAAGGGCUCAGAGUGAUUAGGGAACAUGAGCCUUAUGGAAACCAAAGGAUCCUGGAAAGCAGUAAUAGUCAUUGCUGACAUUCAUUAAUAGCUUAUUAUGAGUGUGUGUGUGCAACACACACACACACACAGAGAAAGAGAGAGAGAUUGAUUCUGCUUUUUCUGGAACUAGAGCUAGAAAUGUGGUUUAGGAGGGUUAGGAUACAAAUCCUAUUCCUUUGGGAUUGCAUCCUUCAAAGGGUGUAUGAGGAGAAUUAUCAUUUCUUUAAUAGUGCUUGGCCCUAAACUUUCCCACAAGUCUGGUCAUGGAAAGCUUUCCCAAGGAGUUCUGCUUUGAGUAUUUAUAUCCGUCUGACUUCUAGGAAAAAGCCAAGAAAUAGACAGAGAGACAAAGAAUACCCUAAAGACACUUAGAGAUGUACCAGAUUGUAAUGUUGCAAAUUUCUUAGGACAAUAUCAUAUAUCAGAAGAGAGUGGGUUUACUUGGAUAGGAGUCAGAAAUUUGGGGAAAUAAUGGCUGUGUUAGCAAAUGCGCCUUCACCCUACCAAGAAGGCUUGUUUUUCUUAGCACACAGUGGAUUUAAAGUUACAGCCUGAGUGGAUAUUCCCAGCUCAGUUGAUUUCUCAUGAGCCACAUAUAUUCACAUGCCCCAGACAAGAUUAUUUCCAGUUUUCAGCACUCGUAGUUCUGGGAAGGGAGAGCUAAAUUAUGUGAGAGCACUCUCAGUGGGGGGACACAUAGAGAGAGUUGUUCUAGCAGCAAUAAAACUAGGGCAAUAAGGGGAAUUGAAGGUUAGGCAAGUCUGAGGCCUCAGACAUGGUGUUCAAUCAAUUAUAACAGAAGGACCUGCAUUGAUUCCAGCUGAAAUCUUAAGUAGGUAGCAGCUAGAUUAGCCUCAACAGAGAAAACAAUUAUUUUGGGGGCUACCUGUGGAGAUGAACUCCCUAAAAAGCUCUAAUUUUUAGAAAAUAUUUCUUAUCGUUUCAACAAACAUUAUGAAGUAUAUUCUGGACACUGGGAAUAGAAAAGUGAGUACGAAGACCCUUUCCUCAAAGGUUUUCUAGUCUUUUCACAAAUUUCUUAUGGGUUUGACAACAGAAAUGAUACUUGAGAAUAUUUAUACCUAUAAUUAAUAAAUUAAUUUUUGCCAUGAAGAAGGAAGACAAAAGAACAUCCAAAAAUUCAUAAAAUACUCUCAACAAAGUAAAAGUUUAUUCCACAUUGAAUCAAAGUAUUAAUUUCAUUUUCUGCAGAUUUUUCAAAUUGGCACUUGCCGUUAAUAAGAAACUUUUACUUUGUUUCCAUGAUUUAUAUAAGGUAAUUUAUAUCAUUCAACUUGCUGUAAAAGUUGAGACUGUUGGAAUUUCUUCAGUAGUUCCACUUCCAACCUUGUGCAGGAACUAUUUCUAACUUCCUAUUUUCAGUCUCCCCAUCUGCAAAAUGGAUUUAAUGACACAUUCACCCAAUAGAUUUUUAAAUAAGUAUUUAAAAAGCAAAUAUAGGGCUGGGUGCGGGGGCUCAUGCCUAUAAUCCCAGCACUUUGGGAGGCUCAGGCGGGCAGAUCAUUUGAAGCCAGGAGUUUGAGAACAGCCCAGGCAACGUGGCGAAACCUAUCUCUACUAAAAAUAUGAAAAUUAGCCUGGCGUGGUGACACAUGCCUGUAAUCCCAGCUACUCAGGAGCCUGAGGUGGGAGAAUCCCUUGAACCCGAGACGAGGAGGUUGCUGAGAUUGUGCCACUGUACUCCAGCCUGGAUGACAGAGUGAGACUGUAUCUAAAAAAAUUAGAAUUAAAAUUAAAAAGUAAAUAUAUAUAUAAAGCACAAAAAAGAGUAACUUACUCAUAGUAAGCUAUUAAUGAAUGUCAGCAACGACUAUUACUACUUUCCAGGGUCCUUUGGUUUCCAUAAGGCUCAUGUUCCCUAAUCACUCUGAGUCCUUUGCCACGCCCUUGUCCCCUGCCCGUAGUGUGAAGUGCUAUUCCCUAUUUAGAGAGCAAUAGCCACUGCUUUAUGUUCUUCACCUGGGAAGGGCUGAUCCAGCAACGAUCCCCAACAGAGGGAUUGGAUCUUUUUCUUCUUCUUUCUCACAAAGACCAAUGGGAGGCGGAGACCUAGAACCUGGGAGCAGGAAGCAGCCAAGGGAAGAGGUGAUUUUUAUUCAACCCUUCAAAAUGCCAAUGUUGUUAAUAAUAUUGUAGCACUACUAAUAAUGCAGACUGUGAUGGCCUCUAUGUCCAGAAGGUCAGAAGUUACCUCAGCCCGCUCCAGGGACACACGGAGGCCAUAGCAUAACGUGGGGCCCAAAGCCAUCUGUUCACAGCAGUGAUACUGACGUAUGGAAUCUGAGGAGCAUUUUGAGAAGCUCUUUUGGUGCAGGUUUUUCAAGCCUCAUCAUUGCAGUAACUCUGGAGCUAUGUUAAGAAACCCAAAAGAGGCAAAAAGAGUAAUGAGAGCCAAGAGGGGUGCCAAGAGAUUCAGGUUUCAUGUGUGACAUUUGAAACAAAAGAUUGGGAAGCGACCUGGAGAAAUUUCCUGAUUUGGUAUUUAGCUGUUCACUGGCCUUGACCUCUGGCCUUGGCCAUGAGGAAAUGGUUAAAGUCAUUGACAAAGAAAAGAGAGCAGAGAAUGGUGUGUGUGUGUGUGUGUGUGUGUGUGUGUGUGUGUGUGUGUGUCUGUGUCCUGCCUCAUAGCCGUUGAUGAAGAUUUUCUCCUUGACUAAACACCAGCCAAGCUCCUCUGAGUCCUCUUCUCAACUAACCCUCAACCUUGGCCUAAAACCACAAAAUGUCAGCAUAAACAAUUUCAUCCACCCCUGUCCCCCACUUUAAAAGACAUGAACAAAUACUAACAUAGUUUCUAACAGCUCAAGGGCAUAUCCUUAGGAUGAUGACUCCAGCGCCAUAAGUUCCUGACUGAGAAAGCUCAGGGUUGCAAAACAAUUUACUGUUUUGUACCAGCCAACACCUGAAUAGGGUCCCUGUCUCCCAGUCUUGGAGGGGGAGUAGGAAUCUAACUUUGAUAAAUGCCAGUUUGCAAACCAAGGUAGCUCCACAUGGACCAACCCCACUUUCUCACAUUUUGUAAAUGUCCACUUCCCUGAUUCUGCUCAAGCCCCUGCUGUUCCCUGUCCCUAGCUCCUCAUCCUUCCUCUAUAAGGCCUAGCCACCUCUGCACAAAUCGUAGUUCAGUUCAGUUCACACUGGACCUACUUCUCUAUUGCAAUUAUUUAUGACUAAUGAAAAUUUGUCUUUACCACUUCCCUCGGUGUCUGGUUUUCUUUAUCUUUGACAGCACCUUCAGCAAUACACAUUCUGAUAUCCUGGGGGAUCUGAUUUUUGAGGCUGAUGAGGCACUUAGUAGGGUAACUAUUUCCAGGAAAAGCUCAGUGAGCAAGAAGAGGAUGAAAACCAACCAGGCAAUGGUUGGAGGAAAGCGCGGCUCAGAUGAAAACAUUAGGAGUGACAUUUUUUAAAGAAAGAAUAUUUCUAAUAGAAAAAGCAUUUGGAUCCUCAGUUAAACAAUUUCGAAGAAAUAUUCCUCAUGGCAAGGAGUUUUAAAUAGAAGAACGUUCUGGUCCCCUAAACUUACUCUCUUGCCUUCUCUCCUUUCUGAUUAAAAAAUUUACUGUUUCUAAACCUUCCUUUUUUCUACCUAUAAAACAUACAAAUUUUAUUAAAAUGAGUCACAUGAGUUUCUAUACACAAGAAAAUGUUAAUGUAAGAAAAAUUAUUAUAUUAUUUGAUUUAGGGAAUUGACUUAAUUUAUACAAUCUGAAUUAUUUUUAUUCUUUAUCCAUGUUCUGGCCUUUAACAACAUUUGUUUCCUUGAUAUAGUUCCUUGUUAUAUAGUUUUGUAAUUUAACUUUAUGUCUUAAAGGUCCAGAAAGCAAACUUAGAUUAAGACAAAUAAAAUAAAACAGACAGUAGAGAUAUCAAUAGAUUUACUUAGAUCCAUUCACUUAACAUCAAUGCAUAACACAUUCCAAAAGCGAG